UACACAUGCGAAAUCCGGACUGA
rnacentral:siRNA from 1 species